GGAGACUUCCCCAGAGCACCGUCAAGCCCGUGAGGACGCCCAGAAGCCUCAGGACUAGGGCGCGUGGCUGAUUCUCAGCCCCACCUGGGCUGCUUUCAGCGUCCUCUCUCCCCACAUCUUUAUUUAGAAUUCGUGUGGGCGGGGCUCAGGAAGAUGUAAGCACUUAGGAAGCUCCCCUGAUGGGGCUCCUGGAGUCCGAAGGAAGGGCAAAUGAAGAACUCAGGAACUCUUGGGACCAGGGCCAGGCCACUCAUCCCUCCAGCUUCCCUGAGGAGGAGGAACAGAGGAUGGGAAAAGCCCCCACGGAGGAACCGGGCUAGACCACCUACCCGCCGCUCCUGGGCGUCCUGGACCAUCCUCGGUGCUGGGCUGCAGCUAGGGUGUCGUAAGAGGUUCUUCUCCUGUUGUUUGGGGCAGUCGCUGACUUCUAGCCCUGUGCAGUGGAGCUUCAGCUGUGGGAAUUGGAAUCAUGCACAACAGUGGUUGACCCAGGGCUUUCCAGACAUUGGAGUGUACAUUCAAACCCCUGAAUAGCAGAUCUGUGGUUAUACAUUUUCAGGAGGUUGUAAGCCCCGAAGAUCAGCAGCAGCCUGAGGGAGGCCCUGGGCAUCCCGAGGACCCUGAGAGUGCCCCUGGCUGGGGACCUGCCGGCCUCAGCCCUGGAAGCUGACUGGCCGCUGCGAGCUGGGACCCACCAUGGAGCCAGAGGCCCAGAGUCAGGCUGCAGAGACCAGCUCGGACAUCACAGGUGACAGAGACGCCAUCCUCACUGGUCAGCUCAAUCCUGGGGACACCCCUCCUCGUCUUGGCAGGAGGCAGAUCGACGUGUGGACAGCUCUCCGUAGGCGAGGAGGAAUCAUACAGCCUGUAGGUCUGGGGGGCCAGACGGGGGCUGAGUGGACAGGUGGCAGGCAACGCGGGGCACCAGGUGGGAAGGGUCUGUGACAGGCAGGAACAUGUCAUCCUUCUGGGCCCCUGCCCCUCCCACUCUCGCACGCUUACCUUCAGGCUCGGGUAGAGGACCAGGGUGGUGCGGUUCAGCUCCACGGACAGGGACAGGAGCCCCGAGCGGGCGCGGUUCAGCGUCAGCGCGAACGUGUCGUGGGCGAAGUCCUUGGCCAGCAGCAGACGGCCACAGUGGACACCCAGGCUCCACACCUGGCCAUCAAAAGUCACCACAUACCUGGCCCCGGCCACCACAGCAUGGUCUGGGAAGAAGCAAGCCCUGGGCAGGUAAGAUGGGCCAGCUCUGCCCACUGCCCUGGGGGCCCUGAGGGCAGGGGGUACUCCAGGGUGGCCGGAGCCUUUCUGGCCUGUGACCCCUGGGGCAGCCCACAUGGGGGCGGGGGUCUAGCCCAGCACCCUGAAGUGGGCCAUCUCCAGCCAAGUCGACACUAAAAAGAAAGGGCUGAUACAUGAUUCCAUUUAUACGAAGUGUCCAGAGUAGGCAAAUCCAUGGAGCCAGGAGGUAGACGGGUGGGCGCCAAGGACCGAGGGUGACGGCUAAGGGACAGAGGAUGCUUCUCAGGUCAUGAAAAUGCUCUGCAACCGACGGUGGGGGGGGGAUGUGAACCUCUGUGAAUAUACUCAAAGCCGCUGAAUUAUAUGCUUGAAAUAAACAGUGUGGUAUGCGAAUUGUGGGUCAGUGAAGCUAUUGAAAAAUAAUCACUAUAAAAAACACACAAAAGUAUGACCAAAGUCUCCAUCUAAUGCAAGGAAGUUACCAUGGGGGCCUGGCUCUGCCCUCCUCCAGGUGGGCAGAAGAUUGUCCGAGACAGGGGACAGCAUGCCCCACCGGGCCAGUUCGGCUGCUGGGCAGCGACUUGGGCUAGAAGUGG
ensembl:lncRNA